rnacentral:lncRNA from 1 species
AUAGAUUGCAUAGCAUAACAAUAAUACAAACAUAGAGUCUCAGUGCAUAGAAAAUCAGAUAGAUGCGAUUAUUCAGUCUAGCAUCAUCUCUUGAAUGCAUAGCAUAAUACUACAUGACUUCAGUUUAGCAUCAUAUCUUCAAUGGCAAGACCUAGAAGCAAACACCAUCUUGAUGUUUCAGUGCUUCUUUUGGUGACCACUUGUUGAUGAAAAAUCCUUAUGUACGACCUGUUGAUGAGAAAAAAACUCAGAUAAAUUUCCUAUAUAUUAAAUUCCUCAUCUACUAAGAACUUAAUGCUAAGAAACAAGAGCAACAAAACUGUUUCAGGACAUGAAAGAAUUCGAUAUGUAAAUACUAAAUAGUGACUAAAAUACAGGAAUUGGGCAUAUGAAAGAAUAAUAAAUAAUCCUAUUUGAAGUUCUGAGCAUGCUUGUAUACUGAAAGCCUCUAUACAACUAGAAUAGAAAAUGUCUCGUUACAACUAGAAUAGAAAAAUAUCAUUACCAGCUGUUUUACUAGAAGGUUGUUUCCACAUCUAAACUACAUGCACAUCUAAGAUAACUGUUUACUAGAAGGUUUUUCUGGUAUCAAUAGUUGUAAUCAAACUUUACAUGAAAAAAAUCGCAUUCUUUUUAAUUUGGUCUCUGUAAUAAGGUGUGGUGAGGUCUUUAGUUUGGUUAGGCUUCUUUGCUGUUUUAUGUAGUCCUAUGUCGACUAGGUGCACAAACCAUAUCAACAUACUCUGAAAACUGAAUUGGAUCAGCACAUCAGUUAAACUAAGGGGGCCUUUGAGAAGAGGUUUAUUUGGACCAUUUAUGUUUUUGGAGUAAAAGAUUUGAAGGAUACUCCCUCCAUCCUAGAAUAUAAAAAAGGGCAUAUCCAAAGUCUUGAGAACCAAAGGCUUCAGACCGAUGAGAUGUCGGGAAAGUAAUAUAAGUUGUCCUUCUGCAAAAUUGUCAUGCAAGUGGUUAGUACUAGUGGUUAAGUAUAAGUUGAAAUAAUCACUUGUCAUUCUGAACAAAUUAUGCAUGACUUGGGAUCCUAUGGAAAUUACGCAUUUCAAAAAGACACAAGAAAGCUCAAACCUUUUCUUGGACUUUUCACUAGAUAAAGCAAAAACCUAAUGAACUAAUGUUCCUCAUAAAUAUUAAGAUAUGUUCAUUUUCAGAACGUGUUGCCUUGCAAGCCGACAAUAUCAUGUAAUGGCAGAUUAACAACUAUGCUUCCAGUCAUUGCAAACUGCAAGUAUCUAACUGCCAGAAGCCUACAUAGUAUCAAACUACAAGUUGAAUUCAGAAAAAAAAACAUACAAUCCUAACAAGGCAGGACAUUAGGAAUCAAUGUUCCUCAUAGUUGGGACUCCCAGAUCUAGCUAGAACUAUCAACUAUCAACACCCACACCUUGACACAAGCAACUUCAGUUCAUAGAACUAUCAACUAUUCAAUUUAAAAAUAUUAUGCUAACAUAUAUGCAGUAUUCAUCUUCCUCCUCUCACCAAUAGAUCGGGUUGAGAUAAAAAAAUACAUGCUUCUUCACAGAAAUAAAAACUCCAUGCGUUGUUGUUAUUGACCGUGAGAAAUUAAGCUGUGUGGAUCCGAUGACAAAGUAAGUGAACAAGAAAUGGUACGGUCUGCUGCUUAAUUUCAACCUAGUAGAAACCAAAGCAAUUGUGCUAGUUAGGAUGUGCGCAACGCAGCCCCCUCGGCAUCCCCCUCCCCUUACAUGGCGGCUGUAGGGGCACCCUACGGCCGCAGCGGUGCCCCCUACAGCGCCCCCUACGUAUCGGUCCCCUUCUCUCUCCUCCCAGAUCUAGCGUGUCACUGUUCAUCACCCUAAACACACUGUGUUGUGGGUCCACGAGUAAUUGUUAGUAGAUAAAAAAUUGAUAGUUGAUAUAGAAAAUGAUAUUUUAUAGUUGUAGUGGGGUAUAGAGGAGUAUUUAGGGGGAACCGCUGCGGGAGAUGAAAAAAUAGGGGGAAAAUAGGGGGAAAAAGUGAUAUAGGGGAAAAAAUUUAGAGGUAACGGUUGCGGAUAGCCUUAUUUGGUCGAGCCAAGAAGAAAAUAAAACAUAUGCUUAAACUGAAGGAGAGAGACAAGAGAAUAGGUUACAUACGCAAAUCGAAGGACAGCCAGUCCCAAGUCUCUCUCCCGCCAGCUGCCGCCGCUGCAAGGGCCAUGCGAGAGUGAAGAGGAGGUGGCUGAGGAGGUGAUCUGAGGCCGUGCGCGAUCU